rnacentral:rRNA from 1 species
GAUGAACGCUGGCGGCGUGCCUAAUACAUGCAAGUCGAGCGAAUGGAUUAAGAGCUUGCUCUUAUGAAGUUAGCGGCGGACGGGUGAGUAACACGUGGGUAACCUGCCCAUAAGACUGGGAUAACUCCGGGAAACCGGGGCUAAUACCGGAUAACAUUUUGAACCGCAUGGUUCGAAAUUGAAAGGCGGCUUCGGCUGUCACUUAUGGAUGGACCCGCGUCGCAUUAGCUAGUUGGUGAGGUAACGGCUCACCAAGGCAACGAUGCGUAGCCGACCGGAGAGGGUGGUCGGCCAGACUGGGACUGCGACACGGCCCAGACUCCUACGGGAGGCAGCAGUAGGGAAUCUUCCGCAAUGGACGAAAGUCUGACGGAGCAACGCGGCGUGAGUGAUGAAGGCUUUCGGGUCGUAAAACUCUGUUGUUAGGGAAGAACAAGUGCUAGUUGAAUAAGCUGGCACCUUGACGGUACCUAACCAGAAAGCCACGGCUAACUACGUGCCAGCAGCCGCGGUAA